rnacentral:rRNA from 1 species
AUGGACGUCGUCCCUACGGCUCCAUCUCCAAAUAUUUACCGUCUCGACCUCGUGAGUUUCGGGCGCAUGGUCCUCGACCGUGGCCUCGUUCUCCCGGACGCCAAGGUGGGCAACAUCUAUCUCCCCGUCGACAAGUUCAAGCUCCUGCGCAUCGAUGACUGUAUUGUGCGUAAGAGCGUCAGCGACAUCAAGGUGAUGGACAGGAGCCACCUGUACACCGGACAGGUGGUCGCGUCCGCGUCCGACAUGGAAGGCCAGCUCGGCGUCAUCACCGGCGUCAACACCCUGCUCAACCUCGCCAAGCUCGAUAACAACGGCAUGGCGACCAAGAUCAUCAAGGGAGUGUCCCCGUCUGGCCUGCGGCGAGUCAGGAGCCUCAACCUCGGGGACUUUGUCGUGUCCGGUCCGUGGCUCGGCCGGGUCGUGGAGGUGUCGAUCGACAUUGAUGUGUUGUUUGCUGAUGGAGCAAUCUGCAGGGUCACCGACGCGGAGGCCGUGUCCAAGAACCUGGAAAGAGUGACUGACAGCUACACCAUGGUGAGCAUGCAUCGCCACCAAAUGAACAGUCGAUUCCACCAGGGGCAACACGUCAUCGGGUCGGAUGCUUGUUCAGUCUUCAAGGCGGCGCGGUGGCUUAAUGGCUAUUGGCAUCCUCAACGAGAAAUAGGAAGAAUCAUGAAGGUGGAGACGUCUGGUGUACUCGUCUACUGGGUUGCAUCGAUGCAUUGUGGCACCGACAAAGAGCUAGUGGAGGCAUCCGCUCCUCCGGCCUACCAGAACCCAGACGAUCUAACAUUCUUCUGCGCCUCGUACAAUUGCUGCUGGGGGCUUGCUGACCGUUGUUUUUUUCUUGAAACUAGUUCCACCGAAGGGGAUGCAAUUUCUGUUCCUGAUCAACACAAUGAUGAUGAUGAUAAUGAGGAGGAGGACGAGGACGAGGACGAGGAGGAAGAGGAGCAAUACAGUGCAUGUUCACAAGACAAUCAAGACGAGUGUGAAGCAUCAACCUCCCAGGUGGUACCACCCACAAAGCAGAAUGAUGUGAGGUUUUAUCGGAAGCAGCUACGGAAGGUCCGCUUUGAGGGACACAGAUGGGGCAAGCACCUGCAAGCAAUGAGACAUGUGGAGGUGGAGUUUCCCAUGGUCGUCGCCAACACUUGCACCACCGUUGACGUGUUGUGGCAGGACGGCACACGGCAGCAUGGCAGACCUUCAGCAACCCUCGUCCCGUUUGGGAUCGUGAAUGAGCAAGAGUUCUUCCCGGGACAGCAUGUUGUCGCCAACGUUCUUCCUACUAAUGCUGCCGUUGAUGCUACUGGUGAUCCUAAUGACAUGACAACUACUAGUGUCAAUAAUGACAAUAUUGCCCCCGGAACUAGACCAAUGCAGCGUGUGGGCAUCGUCAAGAGCCUGCAGUAUGAGGAUCAGACGGUUUGUGUCUCAUGGUUCAAGAAGAGAAGGCACCUUGACGAGGUUAAGGAGGUGGAGUGCGAUGACACCGUCAGUGCUUACGACCUAAAGAUAGACUCUAGCCACUCUGCUUACUACGGAGAUAUAGUCAUUCGUCUCCUACCAUCAGGAUCAACCGACAACGGUGAAAGCAUACCGUUGUUACAGGGAAACAAGAAGGAAAACGGCGUUGAUGCUGAUCUUUCGUGGGUGGGGCGUGUAGUUGAACUUCCUAAUGGGCACGUCCAAGUCAAGUGGGGUGAUGGUAGCAUGUCAACGGUAUUGCCCCAUGAGAUCGCCGUCAUCAAGGACAAGCACUACAUGGAGCUAUGGCUUGAAAUGGGCGACUGGGUAGAGGACGAUGGCACCGAUGAUGCACCUGAAGAAACGGCUGCUGCCAACACGGAAAUCAAUCUUCAGAAUCUAGAUAACGAUGUCGAUGGUGUCAACCUGGCAAUGUCGAGGGCAAGCCUUUUAGGUUUUUCAUUCCAGUCUUUCCUCCAAUUGACCAGCGACGUGGUGGCUCGAGGUAAAGGAUACUUGAUGAACUGGUGGCCCUGGUCGUCGUCCUUACCAAGCUCAGAGUUACCCGCACACACGAAUGAUGAUAGUAUCGGUGGUGCUGCAAUGGAGACCAGCGAUGCUGCCAUAGAUGUGACCAGCCAUGGUUUUGCCGAGGGAAUGAAGGAUGCAGAUGCUACCUGUUUCUGCGACGAACCGUUCUGCUUUCCAUGUUUUGAUGUAUUGCAGAUUAGCCCUUUGGAUCACCACUACCUUGACAGUACGGACAAGGAAAUGCAGGGCCCUAGUCGUGGGAAGACUUGGGCCAAAACAGUGCAAAAAGAAUGGAAAAUUCUGGAGAACGGCUUACCAGAAACCAUUUACGUCCGAGCGUUCGAGGACCGCAUGGAUCUACUUCGGGUGGUGAUGGUGGGCGCAAGUGGGACACCAUACCAUCACGGCCUCUUCUUCUUCGAUUUGCAGCUACCUCCAUCGUACCCGGAUGCCCCACCGCAAGUGUACUACCACUCCUUUGGCCUACGCCUCAAUCCCAACCUCUAUGAGUGUGGUACAGUGUGCCUCAGCCUGCUAAACACAUUCGGUGGCGAGGACACUGAGGUAUGGUCGCCGGCAACUUCAAGCCUGCUCCAAGUCGUUGUCUCCAUCCAGGGCCUCGUCCUUAACGACCAACCAUACUACAAUGAGGCCGGCUAUGAGACAUUGGUUGGCAAACCAGAGGGCCACCGCAAUGCGCUGCCCUACAAUGAGAAUGCUUACCUACUAACCCUCCGGACUAUGCAACACCUUCUAUGUCGGCCACCUCGGGGAUUUGAGGAAUUCGUCAAGGAACACUUCCGCCGUCGGGGAAGGUUUGUGCUCAGGACAUGCAACGCGUGGCUGCAGGAAAAUGUUGUCGACGAUGCCGAUACCACUGAAGCGACUAGGAAGCACCCGUGCUCCACUGGGUUAAGGCUUGCACUCACCAACGUGGCGCCGAGCCUCGUGGCAGCCUUCGCAAAGCUCGGCGUCGAGGGGUGUGAAGAGUUCCAUUAG